rnacentral:antisense_RNA from 1 species
UGUAGGGGUGAGCCUGCUCGCGAUAGCGGUGUGUCAGUCAAAUAUGAUGUGACUGACACACCGCUAUCGCGAGCAGGCUCACUCCUACA